CUGCUGUAGUUCUACUCCUGCCACUUCUUUCUACCCAUUCUGCCCGGCCUGGAAGAAGAUUCUUCCAAAGUUUUUUUUUCAUUCAGAAUUUAAGGAUAGUUGAGGUUGUCCUUUGAGUGUGGGUGCAUGUGCUUGUAUGUAGAUUUAAAAAAAUGCCACCAUGUGUCUCUUCCCUACAUGCCUCCUAUAGACGGAAGUCCCCUGCUGGCAACAGAUUUCUUUCUCAGUAGUGUUCUUUGACCCUGCCAGUCCCUCUGGUGUCCCAUCUUCUCCUUUAAUCCCUCAUGCUGGAGGGGAGGCAGUGGAGACUCACACUAUAUAAGGAGAAAUAAAACUGUCUCUGUUCUCCAUCAUGGGGCUCCUAAUGAUGCUCCCCCUGAACCACUGACUGAGGAGAAAAUGGCCACAAUCGUGACAGGGAUGGGGGAUAAUACGUUGGACGGAUGAAGCCUCUGAAACAACAGCACGCAUGUUCUUUGACUCCAAAUUAUGUAAAUAAAACAUGAAAGGCCGGGGUAAAAGGUCGAGCUGGAUAUGGAGGUCAGGCAGGGGUCAGAACAUCCCCAGGAGUCAUUACAGGAACAUGGCUGGUCGUGGUGGAAGCUACAGGAGAUGUCCCUUCCUGGAAAACAAAGCAGCUUCUGUUCAGUGAUGGAGGAGUGGAGGUGUAAGCGGGCCUGUAAUGAGAGGCUGAGGUGAGGGGAGGCAGAGAG